CACUACAAAUCAAAGCUUUGGGUACUAGAGUUGGUGGGGAGCGCCAGGCCAAUGCUAUAGUGCAGCGCAAAGGCGACGCUCGAGAGCCCCAGUAGCAAGCUACUGUGAUGGACCCUCCCCCUAAAAAAAUAAAUUUAAUAUCGUGUGAGCCAUUGGCCCACGUAUCAGAUAUUAAACUGAUAAGAACAGAUACUACACUUGAUCUUAGCCAAAAGGCCGAGAAAGGUAUGAUUGAUUCAGAGCUAGUAAGCUUUCUUUUAUAGUGCGCUCCUGCUUCUGCCCUUUGUUAUUUUUUCCAUAUGGGAUACGACAGAAUACAGACUGGGCUUGUUACUUCGUAAUAUGCUUCUAUUAUUUCACCAAGGGGCGUGAAA